AGGGUUUACUCACCCACCUUCCAGCCUAGGAUGGCCCUGGGCUCCGGACUGACAAGCCCUCUUUUUGCCUCCUAGCUUCUCGCCAACGUGCGCAAGAAAAGCCGUGGGAGGAGUCUGGAACGAAACAGGUGGAAGUAGCCAGGGUGUGGACAUUUCUCCAGAGGACACCCUCAGACAGUCAAGGCAAGAAGACAGCUCAGAAAUGCAACGGACUGUUUCCUGGAGGGUGCGGAGGGCUGAGCUGAGGUCUGGGCUGCCCUCCUUGCUCCGUGGGUUCCCUCCGCCACGCUGCUGGAGCGUGUUCACAGAUGGUCUCUCCAGACCGGCUUACUGGAACCACACUUAGAAGGAUUUCAUGGCCCUUGAACUAUUCGGCAUGUUGUUUCUGGAAAAAGCACACCUCUGUCCCUCCUGUCGGCAAGACUUGAGCAACAGCUGU
rnacentral:lncRNA from 1 species